GCAAGUCGAGCGGUAACAUUUCUAGCUUGCUAGAGGAUGACGAGCGGCGGACGGGUGAGUAAUGCUUGGGAAUAUGCCUUAUGGUGGGGGACAACAGUUGGAAACGACUGCUAAUACCGCAUAACGUCUACGGACCAAAGGGGGCUUCGGCUUUCGCCUUUAGAUUGGCCCAAGUGGGAUUAGCUAGUUGGUGAGGUAAUGGCUCACCAAGGCGACGAUCCCUAGCUGGUUUGAGAGGAUGAUC
rnacentral:rRNA from 1 species